CCUCACUCGGCCUGGUGGUUCUGUUACGGUACCGUGGCAUCGUGAUGCCGGAGGUCAUCUUUCCAAGCUGCAGAGGAACGUCAGGUAGCAGCUUGCAGCGAUAGCUGUGAAGAAGCAAGCGCGGAUAUCUGCAGCGAGACUGUCCUCCACGUCAAGACGAAGGUAUUUGAAGUCCCCUUCGAAGAAGUUGGGACACGAGGAGGAGACGUUGAGGACUGCUGUGACGCCGGCUGCCUUGAGGGUCUCUCGGCGGGAUGAGUGGACGGCACUGCCCAGAAACAGGAAGGGAAGCAGCUCAACGGGACCGUCCUUUGGUGGACAAGAAGGAGGAGUAUCUGGGAUGAAUUGUAUGACUAUAAUCCGGAUGUUGACAUGAUCCGAGAUGCAUAUCAUAAACGCCCAUGUGACCGCACAACACCCUGAUUCUGAGGAGCAUGUCCCUGCUGUGGAGGCAGCUUGGAUACAGCUGGCGCCUAAUGUUCCGGAAAGCUGAGCAGUGUCUGGGGAUUUACUGGUGCACGUGGGCACUGUGUGUUUGUGCUUUGAUUCACAAUGAAUCAUAUAUGUUGGCUAUUAUUGAUGAAAAAUGUGCAGCAUUCUCUGUAUACGGUGUUGCUUUGACAAAUGAAGUUACAUUUGGGUCUGACAGAGCUUGUAUCUCAAAACAUCCGUAUCUCCAAUUGAUAUUCCACCCAUCCAUCCAUUUUCUAACGCUUGU